GACGAACGCUGGCGGCGUGCUUAACACAUGCAAGUCGAACGGAAAGGCCCUGCUUUUGUGGGGUGCUCGAGUGGCGAACGGGUGAGUAACACGUGAGUAACCUGCCCUUGACUUUGGGAUAACUUCAGGAAACUGGGGCUAAUACCGGAUAGGAGCUCCUGCUGCAUGGUGGGGGUUGGAAAGUUUCGGCGGUUGGGGAUGGACUCGCGGCUUAUCAGCUUGUUGGUGGGGUAGUGGCUUACCAAGGCUUUGACGGGUAGCCGGCCUGAGAGGGUGACCGGCCACAAUGGGACUGAGGGACGGCCCAGACUCCUACGGGAGGCAGCAGUGGGGAAUAUUGCGCAAUAGGCGGAAGCCUGAUGCAGCAGCGCCGCGUGCGGGAUGACGGCCUUCGAGUUGUAAACCGCUUUCGCCUGUGACGAAGCGUGAGUGACGGUAAUGGGUAAAGAAGCACCGGCUAACUACGUG
rnacentral:rRNA from 1 species